CCCUUACUUCCCUGAGCUGUAAGCUGUCUCUGCAGGGUGGGAGUUGCUGUCUGGACUCUCUGUAGCUGCACCCCUGCAGAUCAGUGAGUAUAGAUAGGCAGGGAGGGAUAUGCUGGAAUUUCCUAUCCCUGCCUGUCUCCACAUACAGCGACCUCUACUGGCCAGUGCUGGUAUUGCAGAGUAAUUUCCAUUUAUACUGAGAAAAAUACCAGCAUUUAUAUUGCCAGUAUCACUGCAAUAUUGGCACCAGCCAGGCAGCCUCAAAUACUGGCUGUGCCAAUAAAAU